rnacentral:rRNA from 1 species
UACGUAGGGUGCAAGCGUUGUCCGGAAUUAUUGGGCGUAAAGAGCUCGUAGGCGGCCUGUCGCGUCGGCUGUGAAAACCCGAGGCUCAACCUCGGGCCUGCAGUCGAUACGGGCAGGCUAGAGUUCGGUAGGGGAGACUGGAAUUCCUGGUGUAGCGGUGAAAUGCGCAGAUAUCAGGAGGAACACCGAUGGCGAAGGCAGGUCUCUGGGCUGUAACUGACGCUGAGGAGCGAAAGCAUGGGGAGCGAACAGG